rnacentral:rRNA from 1 species
AACCUGGUUGAUCCUGCCAGUAGUCAUAUGCUUGUCUCAAAGACUAAGCCAUGCAUGUCUAAGUUUAAGCGAUUUAAACGGUGAGACUGCGGACGGCUCAUUAUAUCAGUUAUAGUUUAUUUGAUGGUCGAUUACUACAAGGAUAACCGUAGGAAUUCUAGAGCUAAUACUUGCACUUCAAACUGAUUUUUCAGUUGCACUUAUUAGAUUUACCACCAAUGCUCUUCGGAGCUUCGGUGAUUCAUAGUAAUUUAGCGGAUCGCUACGGCUUCGGCCGCGACGCUUCAUUCAAAUUUCUGCCCUAUCAGCUUUCGAUGGUAGUGUAUUGGACUACCAUGGCUUUGACGGGUAACGGAGAAUUAGGGUUCGAUUCCGGAGAGGGAGCCUGAGAAACGGCUACCACAUCUAAGGAAGGCAGCAGGCGCGCAAAUUACCCAAUCCCAACGCGGGGAGGUAGUGACAAGAAAUAACAACAACUAACCUAUUUCAGGUGAGUUGAUUGGAAUGAGUACAAUCUAAACACCUUAACGACUAUCCAUUGGAGGGCAAGCCUGGUGCCAGCAGCCGCGGUAAUUCCAGCUCCAAUAGC